GGAAGUAAAAGUGUAACAAGGUUUCCGUAGGUGAACCUGCGGAAGGAUCAUUAAAGAAUUGCCCCGUCUUCUCGAAGAUGGGUUCUAUUCCAAACCGUGUUUACAUACCUUUGUUGCUUUGGCGGGCCGCCGCUUCGGCGUUGGCUCCGGCUGACUGCGCCCGCCAGAGGACCACAACUCUUUUGUUUAGUAAUGUCUGAGUACUAUAUAAUAGCUAAAACUUUCAACAACGGAUCUCUUGGUUCUG
rnacentral:misc_RNA from 1 species